UGUACUCUGUCCAUUCUGCUGCAUUCUAAUCACAGCAAACUAAUUUCAUUUUGUUAUAGACUGCAGCAUGCCUUUAAUAGACAGCAGUGCAAGUGAAUUAAAAUAUACUGAUUAUAAAGAAAAUUAAACAUAAACUAUUUAAAACACAAUUAAUUAGACAUAAUGAAACUGCAGACACAACUGCAGAGCAGGCAAACCUAAAUCCAAAGAAAACCACCUCCCCCCGCCCUAGAAGGACCUGGCUCCUAACCUUGGAUUUAAACUUGAAGCUUGACAAACAAUCUUUCUCCUGCAAUCCAGACAGGUGGCAUCCCCAGCGCAGCGCAUUCACCAGCAUUACCACUCUCCUCAUUUAGACUUUACAUCAAGUCUGUGUGAGCCCUGGCUUGAAAUCAGAUUCUUGAUGUCUAUAAGCAAAGACAAAGGCUAAAGCUUAUUUAUUAACACUGGUUAUAAAGAAAGAAAGGGAUUACAUAAAGGACCACUGUUCGUUUGGAUUGCACAAUGUUUUACAGGGACAUGUGAUACACUGGAGGACUAUUUAUAUGUGCGUUUGAAUGUAACUGUGGAUUACCUAAAACAGUUCUUAUCCUCAACAGAUUGACACUGCUAACAAGGUACAGAAAAACAGUUUUACAAUAGCAGUAAGUAACAACACCGUUUUGUUUGUGGGUACACAAAAGGACCGAAGAGUAUAAUUUUACUCUCUUGGACUAAAUGAAGUCCUAAAUUGGAAAAGCAGCUCCAUCCAAGGUCGUCUCUGUUGCUUCCAAAAAUAUCUUGAAACAAACGCAAGAGGGGCACUUUGUUGGGUGUUAUCUUGACAUAUAUAGUUUCAAUCAAAUUCUUCAAGAAGUGUCAGAAUAAAAGUCGAACAUUUGUUUGACGCUGCUGAGCCCCUGGGAAGUGAAUCCCUUCAAAGGUUGGAAAUAACUUUGAUAACAGAAUUAAGAAUUACAGAUUGUUGGGUAGUUGUUUGUUUUUUAAAUGCUUUAAAAAAAAAAAAGCCAGGUAUAUUUGGGAUGGAAUUGUAAACACUUUCUAGAAACUUCAUCAUCAAAGGACUGUAUAAUUCUUUCCGCUGCACGAGGCGAAGCAUUACAAGGUUGUGUUAAUGAUCUCAGGAAAAUAUUUAUAGUGCUUUUUCCAGCAUAAGAGUUCUCCCUUCCCCUCUCAGUACAUUUUACGAUCAACCUCCACUCAGUUACCUCAACAAGCAGGAAAGAACCUUCAGUAUCCCCAGAUUUUAAAGGGAUGCAUUUCAUAUACAAACAUUUAAAGUGCAGCGUGGUAAAUGCAAAACACAAAAGGAACAGCAAGCAGUAACGACCCGCUGUGAAGAACAGCAUGCUGCAGCUCAUUGCCAGGAGAGUUCAGAUUGUGGUCCAGUUUUCAGCUGUGGAAGUUAUUUUCCUUAAGGAGAUUUGAUAUGGUGUUGUUACUACCCAUGAAAUAACAAAUGCCCAAUUUUCCUUACUAACCUCUGAACACGAAGCAGAUCUCCCAGCGUUCCCUGACUCACUCCUGCAGAUACCUGAGCGGUCUCAUCAGCCUACAUAGAAAGAAAAUGAAGCAGAGAAAUCCUUUGGGACAAAAGAUGCAUCAUAAAUGUAAAGUAUCAGCGGAACAGGUUGUCUGUGGGUGACUUUCAGUGUUCUGAUACAGUUCUGUUUUCUUUUAAAUGUGCUCUAAAAACACGGCAAGCUUCAAAACAUGGAAUAAUGGAGGUGGGUACAGCGCUUUAUAAAUACUCUAAAAAUUCCAAGCUUCUGAAUGUUGCAGAGCACGGGAUGCUGCCUUGGAGGAACACGUCCUUGAGAUGGUGGUUGAGAUGCAAAUGCAACAUUUUCACAUGAUGUUUAAUUUUUAGAUCUUCAACUUUUAGGGUUCCAAAUUAAAUCACUUUGUGCUUUUGGUAAUUUGUCAUUAAUGGCUCCAAGACUGAUGUGCUGACUGCAGAGAAAUACCCAAGCAUCACCUUAUGUGCCAGAAGGUACCAUAACAGCGUUGACCAAAUAAACCAUAUCCUUCACAUUGUACAAACCUUAAAGUUUUGACUGAUAUUUCAAAAACCAGGAAUCUGUUCAUAAAAUUGCAUUCAGAUUUUUAAUGUCAGAACACCUUAAUCAGGAUUUUUUUUCAGUAUAAAACAGUUAUAAAGUUUAUCAUGAGGAUAUUAUGAGAUUGAGUCCUCUAUUACUUCCCUUAGGAGGUUAUUCUUUGUAUAAGGUAGAUGCUUUCAUACUUUUCUUGUCACUUCCUGAGUGCCAAGCAUAUUUUCCAUUCCAUAGAAAGGAAGCAGGAAUAAGGAGAACAAGGAAGAGGCAGAGUGAAGAAUUUACCUUUGAAGAUCGGUAAGAUCCCAUUUUUUAUGCUCCUAUCAACUUCAUUUCUUCUGGUAUUAGCAAAACAUGCAGGAUGUGGCUUUAUCCCAUUACAAAAGUUGACCUCAUUAAGCACUUACUGCAAUAAAACUUAUAAGCUUAAAAAUGAAAUGUCAAUCUGUAACGACAGAGGACUGAAGCAAUGCAAUGGACGCUGGCUUUUCUAGAACCACCUGUAGGAAAAGAACUCCAGUUACUGGCAUUUAGCAAAUGCCGGCUGUGUGUAUCCUGACCUGCAGAAAUGUACUUGUCUUUGAAUGACGAAGAAUGGAGAUGCGAUAGAAAGGUUAAAGGUACACUUCUUAUCCUCAUAACAAAUAUAAAUAAUGUUGUUAAAUACAAGGUAAUGUGUGAUAUAGUGUUAUAAAUUACAUGUUAUAAAUACUCCAGCUCAAGAUCAAACAAGACAGCCUCUCACAGAUGUCUAAUAAAAAUCAAACUGUCGUGGAUUGUGGUAGCACUGAGAAACACUUAAAUUCCUAUUGUAAAUUAAAUGCUUCUAAUGGAACAUCGAUUUGCAUUGGGCAAAAGUUGUUAAUUUUAAGUAAUUAUGGCUCUUCUUUUCCUCUCAGUCACACAGAUCUGAUCCUGGCCCUUUAAUUUCUUCUUGUUCCAUCAGGAGGAAGAGCUAAAUCCAGCAGACCUUAUUUUGGCAAAACUCCCACUGAAGUCAGUGAGGGUUUUGUGAGAGUAUGGACUGCACGAUUUGUCUCACAGUUCCUGCUGAUUAUUUGGAGUGUGAUUGCUACCCGCCUCAAGUACCAGAGCUCCUCACCGAGCCUGACAUUCCUGCAGCACAUGGCUGACAGCACUUUCUCCUCUGUAAACCAUGAGCACGAAAAGCAGUGUAAUGCAAUCGAUAAAAUACCCUUUUCACCCAGUGACCUUCAUAGAAACAGACUGCCUUGGGAGUUCUGAGACCGCCACUGCAGAACCAACGCUACAGAAACAGAAGCACUUGAGAAUUUAAAGAGCCUGCUUUAAAUUCAUGCUGAGAACUUAAAGAACUCUUCAAACAAUUUGAAAAUGGGUCAAAUUCUGAUUGCUAGAAAACAACUCACCAUUUGGGUGUUGCCCACAAAAGUGGGAUCUUACGUUAUAGUGGUGAUUCAUGUAAUAUCUCCUCACUGCAACACUGGCGUGUCCCUGCAAAUUUUAGUUCCGUUUCUAUUGCAGAUUGCGAUAGAGAAAGUCAGACAAAGAGUUAACAGCAUCCCAUCAGCAGAGACCCCACUGCUACAAAAGAUAACACGGGGCAAAUGUUGAGAACGAGCUCUUUUUCACUUAAAUCUGAGCCAAUGCAGCCCCAAUGAGAGAAAGCAGAUCUGCAGGCAUCCGUGCAGUCCUCACCCCCAAGCAAGAUGAUGGAGUAAGUUUCCCACACUCCGCUGUGUCAAUGUGCCACGACCUUUCUCCCAAGGUGACACCUUUUGGGUAACAGCACUCGGUCUCUGUUGUCUUCCAGUCAUGUUUGUCUGCCUUCUCGUGGAAGCUGACUCCAGGUUCACCAGACGCUGCCAGAGCGGUGAUUUAGGAAUUCAGAGUGGUCCUGCCAAAUCGCUCUGCUUACAUCACUUGCCGAGGACAGCAGCCAGAGAUCAACAUCGUAUCUGAAAAAAACCUUCUCACCCAGUUCUGGACAAAGACAAGGAGAACCCUUUUGAAGCAAAGUAAUCAGUUGCUCAUGGUUGACUGCUCCCAUCUUCUGACUGGAAGGAAUUUGGUAAGUGCAGAGACUCCACAUUUAGCUAUGCACAUUUUUUACUAAUUUGGGCCUUUGAAAAGGGAAGACAGCUAUUUUUCCAUACAGUAUGUUCAAUCUUAUUAAUUAACUAGCUAGAUUAUUAUUAAUAAAGUUUAAAAAAAAUAGGAAUAAGAGUUUCCUUACAAUUUAGGAAGUAAAAGUACAACUGCAAAACUCAGUCAAAGAUUUCUGAAUGCUCCCUUCAGAUCACGAACCACAUGGAAAAACCAGUGAGCAGAAACCAUUAUGGCUACAUUUAUUAAAUGUCCACUUACAUAAAGGCUAAAAAUAGCUUUUGAGUUUUUCCAAUUUUCUUUUCAUAACAGUCAUUAUGAUUUUCUGCUUCAUCUCAGAAAGCAAUUUUGCUGCUGCUGUAGUGUAUAAUCUACGUGCCCUUUCUCAGCGCUGUACAAAUGACAGAGAGCUAAUCAGAUCAGAGCAACAACCACGUCAUCAUUGAGUAACUAGCAAUAAACUGUUUUUACAAGGAAAAAAGAUGAACUAUUUUUAGGGUAACUGAACAGAAAAACAUAAAGUGGUUAUACUCAGUCUUACUCUACAUCAUUGCUAUGAAUUUCCAAAGCAUUCCCUUUAUUCCUGGGCAGCAGAUUAAAUGCUGCAAUAAAUCUUUGUAUAAAUGGCCUAGUCAAAAAUUGGGCUUUUAGGAAUUUGUUAUAAAAUUCUGAGGUAUAUAAAAUGCCCUUUCUCCGUGUCCUGGUGGCUUUGAACUGCAGGCAGUCCUCCAGCUCUGAUCACUAAGUAACCUAAAUGCCCAGGGAAGAGGCUGCUGGUGGCAAUGCAGAACCUUCUACACACUUAAUUAACUGCCAGUGUCCUACACAACAUCCUUCCCUCCAUGCUCACUGACCAUGUGCGUAACAGAGAAUGUGCUGCUCCUCCUUGUGCUGGGAAAGAUCAAUGUGCAGCUGUUGAGAAAGACUAUCUUCAGCUAUUCAGCAGUGUGGGAGGAAUUGCAUGAGGAUGUCCUGAGUAUCUAUGGACAUGUUCCUUAGGCGUACAGUGGGACUGGGGGCAACUGAAAUAAAUACAGUUAAAUAGCCCUGAGCUUUUCAAACCUCUUUCUCCUGUAGCCCAGACAGAAAGUUGACAGUAAGAAUUUACUUUGUAUUCUUUCACCUACAAAAUAUAGAAAAUAACACCAUUCAGUCAAAAUGUAGUCAUUGGAUUUUAUUUGAGCUCUAUUAGCAAAUACACUUUAAAUAAAGACAAAUUAGGAACUAUACAGUUACCAUACCCUCCUUUGAUAGAGAAAAUAUCAGAUCUUUUAAUUAGAGAGAAAUUCCCUGUCAGAGAAGUCUAAAUCAUUUCUUGUGUAAAAUUACAUCUGAAAAAAACUAUCAGUGAAAAAAUCCACUCUUAUUUAGGCAGGAAAAA